GUGAACAAUAUCAGUGGCUACCUUCCUGGUCGGAUUGUUUUCUUCUUGGUUAAUACCCACCUCACACCACGCCCCAUAUUACUUACUAGGCAUGGA